ACGAAGCAUACUCGGGGCCGUUCUUGGA
rnacentral:piRNA from 1 species